UGAGAACUAAUAAUCAAACUGUCGUUGAUC
rnacentral:piRNA from 1 species